GUGAUCCAGACAGACUGCCUCAUAAACACAAACACUGCACGUGCACUGCUGCCCUGCCUUGUUUACAGCAGAUGGGAGCCCCCAAGCGACAGAAAAUGGAGCGGCAGCAGCAAGGAGCCCAGCACAAACAGCAGCAGCAGGACACUAUUUCUCUUAAGGAGCAGACAAGAAAGAGGUUGACAUGAAAAACUAUGAUGUAUCGUCACUUCAGGAAGGCACUAAAAUCCAGACUGCAUCCAUGAAUAAAAUCCUGCACAAACCUUCACAUGGAAGAAAUGGUUCAUUGGUUCACAAGAGCUACAAACCUGAGAAUGCUGAGGACAAGGAAUACAAACCUGUCACAAGAGAUUAAAAUACUUGCUAUUACUCUGGCUGGGCCUUUGUCAAAACAACAACAACAGGGUCAAGUAGAAAUACCAGACUGACAAACAGAAGGGAGACACAGAGCAAAGAAAAUAAUAUAGAAGACAACUGGUCUGAAAUCAAGGAGGCCAUUUAUUUCAAGCUGGAACAAGUAUCCAGAAUAUGGCUGUAACAUCUUUACCGUGGCUAUAUCACACCACUAAUCAGUUCAACAAUCCAUUAAGCUUACUCAGCAAGUUAAAGAUGAAAGAUUCAAUAUAUCUUAUAGGGGGGCAGAUGUAUUAGAGCUCACUCAAACAGCUGAUUCCAGUACAAACAAAA